UUAUUAAUUAUGCAUAUAUUAAUAAAUUUUUAACAUUUUCAAUUAACAGAUUUUUAUUUUUUUACACCAUGUUUUUUGUUGCAUAAAAAUUCAAACAGUUUGAUCUUUGCAAUCUAUCUACUUUUAACAUUCUUGCUUCUUUUUAGCUUCACCAGUACUCUUUUUAUUUUGAAAAAUGGAAUCUUUUAGAUGGUUAUUUUUUUUUCUCUUAUAUGUCGAUAUGUGUAUAUGAUAUACUGCUAAAAUUUAACGUAUAUAUUUUUAUGUAUCUAACUGACACGAAUAAAAUGUGCUAGAGAUUAAAAAUCAAAACAUUGUUUUCAAACACAUCUUCUGAGGAAUAGAAAAGAUACAUGUACUGUUAUGAGACCUUGAAUUAAUAUCCUAUUUAUUUUUGUAACAUUAUCCUGCCAGUUUUAAAUUUGGUUAUUUUGUGACAACAUCGUUUCAAUAUAAUUAGUUGUUUCUAUAUAAUCAGAUAAAGUACACGCUCCGCACGGUAUCUUAAUUGUAAAAAGAAAUUUGUGUAGAUAUAUUUGCUGUCUGAUUUAUUCUGUUAUUGUAAUGGCCACUAGGGAACAAAUUCAAGAAUAUCUCCAUAUAAGGGAUAAUAUCGAUAUGACAGUAAAUGCUGUUUUAAAUAAAAUUGUAUCUAUAAAUACCAUACCAGAAGGUGAAGAAAAGAAUAUAAUAAAAUUAACAGUAGAAACUGUAGAAAAAAAAAAAGGAAUAUAUGCACGAAAAGGUAUCAUACGAGGCAGCAAUAUACGAUUAUAGGGUAACAGAACACUCCAACCCGAAAGCGGUAAAAAAAAUUGCAGCCAAAUAUGGACUUGAGCCUAUGAAUCUUAGCAUGGAAAUAUAUAAAACUACUAGUGACUCGAAUUAUGUAUUUACUAAAGCUAUAGAAGGAGAAAACAUUUCAUAUGCAGAUGAAGAAGAAUUAUGGCAACAUUUAAAAUCGUUUGUAGAACAAAAUUCAAUACCUUGCCCUUGUAGAGCUUGUUUUUUGCUAGAAUCCUCAAUACAAGCUUACAAAUUUUGCGAACGGUGGAACAUAGAUAAUUUUUACCAGCAUGGGAUUUUAGCCUUAUGGGAUUUACAUAAAGCGGCAACAAUAGAAUGGAUAAAAAAAUUCGAAAUGAGGCAUCGUGACGAAAUUUAUAACUUAUGCAGUAAGUCGUGUAAUAAGACCUGUAGUGUAGCACCUGUAGUACCUGUAUGUAGUACUAGCAUGAGUAAUAAAUAACAACUGUUGUCAAUGUUUGAUGGAGAAAUUAUUUUCGAACUAUCAAAAAAUUAUAAAAUGUUUUAUAGUCAACAAAUUUUAAUCUAUUUCGGUAUUGCAUUGUGAUGAAAUAUUAAUACAAACGUGCUAACAUUUACUUUAUAAGAUUUACGGUUUAAUGAACAGCUUGAGUAAGAUAUUUAAAAAAGAAACAGCACCUAUAAAUGCCAUUCUUAUAAAUGACGAGUCUUUAAGAUAUCUGUAAGAUGCUUUUUUAUCAACGGAAAGAGAAAAUUUUGAGAAAUAUGUAUUGUAAUUUAUGAACACAAACAAGCUUUUAUAUACGACUAGGCUACAAUAUUAUUUUUAAACAUUAAUUGUUAUUGAAAAUAUCUGUGUGAAUUUCGUUACGUUUUAUUGUGUAUAAAGGUCUUUAAAUAUUACAAGAAAAGUUAUAUGAGGCAAACAUAGAAACAAGAGAAAGAGAGAGAAAGAAACA